GAGAAAGUGAAAAAAUAAGUAGAAUGAACAAUUAAUUCGUAACUGACAAGAAUAACAAGAAUGAAUAAAAGGAAAACAAAUCUGAUAACUAAGUCUAACAAGGCGAAAAACGAUUAAAAGCAAAGGAAAAUUACACAAGUCUUUGAAAAACAACUAUUAAAUAGAAAACAAGGGAAAACAUCUUAAACCUGUUAUCCAACUGUCAAUUGGGAAUUUUAAAACUGAUUUUUUUUUUUACCGUUCUCUAUUUUGAAAAAAUCACAUUCAAAGUUUUAAACAUAAAAGUCUCUGAGAAAACUUCCAGAAAACUAGCUAAUGCAGUAUGGGAAG
rnacentral:misc_RNA from 1 species